UACCAUCAUUCGACAAUAUAUUAUUCCACAUUUCAUAAGAUUAUACGUAAAAAGCUUAGGAAUCUAUUCAUGAAGCGAUAUUCUAAAAAAAAUUAACAUAAAUAAA